rnacentral:rRNA from 1 species
AAUGGGGGAACCCACCUACUUUAAGGUAGGUAUUGCAACAUGAAUACAUAGUGUUGCAAGGCGAACGAGGGGAAGUGAAACAUCUCAGUACCCUUAGGAAAAGAAAUCAAUUGAGAUUCCCUCAGUAGCGGCGAGCGAACGGGGAUCAGCCCAUUAAGUUAUGUGUGUUUUAGUGGAACGCUCUGGGAAGUGCGAACGUAGAGGGUGAUAUUCCCGUACACGAAAGGGCACACAUAAUGAUGACGAGUAGGGCGAGGCACG